GCAGUGGGGAAUAUUGGACAAUGGGCGCAAGCCUGAUCCAGCAAUGCCGCGUGAGUGAUGAAGGCCUUAGGGUUGUAAAGCUCUUUUACCCGGGAUGAUAAUGACAGUACCGGGAGAAUAAGCCCCGGCUAACUCCGUGCCAGCAGCCGCGGUAAUACGGAGGGGGCUAGCGUUGUUCGGAAUUACUGGGCGUAAAGCGCACGUAGGCGGCUUUGUAAGUCAGGGGUGAAAGCCUGGAGCUCAACUCCAGAACUGCCUUUGAGACUGCAUCGCUUGAAUCCGGGAGAGGUAAGUGGAAUUCCGAGUGUAGAGGUGAAAUUCGUAGAUAUUCGGAAGAACACCAGUGGCGAAGGCGGCUUACUGGACCGGAAUUGACGCUGAGGUGCGAAAGCGUGGGGAGCAAACAGGAUUAGA
rnacentral:rRNA from 1 species